UUUGCUUAAAAAGUUGGUUGAACGCGAAUGAUGAAGAAUAUGAACCCGUGGUUCUUAGGCAAUAUAUGGAUGAGGUUGAAUCUUUUACAGAUUGCUAUCAUGCUGUCUCAGAUGAUGGUGAGGUUGUUUCUACUCCAACGUGUUCAAAGGACGGAAUCGCUCAAGUAAAUGAUGCGGAAUCUUCUAAAAGACCCAACGAUACAUAUGAAGAUAUAAUGGAUUUGGAUUUGGAUUCGGAUGAAGGGGAAUAGGAG